GAUGAACGCUGGCGGCGUGCCUAAUACAUGCAAGUCGAGCGAAGCGGGGACGGGGGAGUAACACGUGGAUAACCUCCUAUAAGACUGGGAUAAAUUAGGGAAACCGGAGCUAAACCGGAUAAUUAUAGAUGGAUCCGCGCUGCAUUAGCUAAUUGGUAAGGUAACGGAUUACCAAGGCAACGAUGCAUAGCCGACCUGGGAGGGUGAUCGGCCACACUGGAACUGAGAAACGGUCCAGACUCCUACGGGAGGCAGCAGUAGGGAAUCUUCCGCAAGGGGCGAAAGCCUGACGGAGCAACGCCGCGUGAGUGAUGAAGGUCUUCGGAUCGUAAAACUCUUUUAUUAGGGAAGCGGUACCUAAACAGAAAGCCACGGCUAACUACGUGCCAGCCGCCGCGGUAAUAC
rnacentral:rRNA from 1 species